GAUGAACGCUGGCGGCGUGCCUAAUACAUGCAAGUCGAGCGAACAGAUAAGGAGCUUGCUCCUUUGACGUUAGCGGCGGACGGGUGAGUAACACGUGGAUAACCUACCUAUAAGACUGGGAUAACUUCGGGAAACCGGAGCUAAUACCGGAUAACAUAUUGAACCGCAUGGUUCAAUAGUGAAAGGCGGCUUUGCUGUCACUUAUAGAUGGAUCCGCGCCGUAUUAGCUAGUUGGUAAGGUAACGGCUUACCAAGGCAACGAUACGUAGCCGACCUGAGAGGGUGAUCGGCCACACUGGAACUGAGACACGGUCCAGACUCCUACGGGAGGCAGCAGUAGGGAAUCUUCCGCAAUGGGCGAAAGCCUGACGGAGCAACGCCGCGUGAGUGAUGAAGGUCUUCGGAUCGUAAAACUCUGUUAUCAGGGAAGAACAAAUGUGUAAGUAACUGUGCACAUCUUGACGGUACCUGAUCAGAAAGCCACGGCUAACUACGUGCCAGCAGCCGCGGUAAUACGUAGGUGGCAAGCGUUAUCCGGAAUUAUUGGGCGUAAAGCGCGCGUAGGCGGUUUUUUAAGUCUGAUGUGAAAGCCCACGGCUCAACCGUGGAGGGUCAUUGGAAACUGGAAAACUUGAGUGCAGAAGAGGAAAGUGGAAUUCCAUGUGUAGCGGUGAAAUGCGCAGAGAUAUGGAGGAACACCAGUGGCGAAGGCGACUUUCUGGUCUGUAACUGACGCUGAUGUGCGAAAGCGUGGGGAUCAAACAGGAUUAGAUACCCUGGUAGUCCACGCCGUAAACGAUGAGUGCUAAGUGUUAGGGGG
rnacentral:rRNA from 1 species